UACGUAGGGUGCGAGCGUUAAUCGGAAUUACUGGGCGUAAAGCGUGCGCAGGCGGUCUGUUAAGUCAGAUGUGAAAUCCCCGGGCUUAACCUGGGAACUGCAUUUGUGACUGGCAGGCUAGAGUAUGGCAGAGGGGGGUAGAAUUCCACGUGUAGCAGUGAAAUGCGUAGAGAUGUGGAGGAAUGCCGAUGGCGAAGGCAGCCCCCUGGGCCAAUACUGACGCUCAUGCGCGAAAGCGUGGGGAGCAAACAGG
rnacentral:rRNA from 1 species